UACGUAGGGAGCGAGCGUUGUCCGGAUUCAUUGGGCGUAAAGAGCUCGUAGGCGGCUUGAUAAGUCGGAUGUGAAACCUCCAGGCUCAACCUGGAGUCGCCAUCCGUAUACUGUCAUGGCUAGAGUCCGGUAGGGGCCCACGGAAUUCCUGGUGUAGCGGUGAAAUGCGCAGAUAUCAGGAGGAACACCGGUGGGCGAAGGCGGUGGGCUGGGCCGGCACUGACGCUGGAGGAGCGAAAGCGUGGGGAGCGAACAGG
rnacentral:rRNA from 1 species